CCUAACCCAGUUGUCAAGCUCUCCUUCUGCAACAAUGGCUGCUUCAGAUUAAUAGGGUUCAUACAUCGUCCUCUUCUUAAGCUCUCAUCCCUCAACAAUGGUCGGUUACAGAUUCAUAGGUUUCAUAGCGUCGUCUUCUUCUCUCUGUAAUCAGGGCAACCGACGGUGUAGAUUCUGGAGGCAACCGUUACAGAAUGCAUUGAUGCGAUGCCAUUGGCGACCUUCUUAACUCCUUAGCCUCACUCCAUCCACGAUAAUUCAUUCAAUGCAUCUUAACUCAUCAAGGCGGUGGAACUUGAGCUAUAAAAAGGUGAUGACAACAGUUCAACUGAAUAUCGGUAUUGUUCUCUCCAAAGGUCAAGCACCUGGUGGGCACACUGUCAUACAUGGACCAGUCGGUUGAUGUUUUCAUUAUCACCUCUAAGUUUUCAUGCUGAUGUAUCAAAGACAUGUGCAUUAAGCUUAAGAAGCAUCUCAUCACUGCUUGCUAUGUUGAUGGUGAAACAUCCAUGUGACAUGAGAUGGCUAAGAAUGCUUGGAUUACGGUUCUUGGUGACACGACAUCUCACUACUUGGCCUUUUUGUGAUUGCCUUUUUCACUAGGCAAACUUUUAGUGCAUUUAGCUUCCAAAAUCUUCCUUAGAUAAUUGAGAAGGUGACCUUAUAAUCGAGAGGCUCAUAUCAGCAAGGGACAAGUGAAGUCUUUCACCUCUUCCUGUGGUAGCCUUCCCUUUUUUUGAUGCUGCAAAUAAUCCAUUAGCAGAUUCAAUGACUUCAGUCGGAUAUACCUAAAUCAUGCAAUAAUGUGAUAAGGACCAUACAUUCACCUUCCUCUUAUUUAAUAAUUUUUAUGUAUCUUUCUUUCGGGAAUUAUAAUAUAAUGCAAUAUUAUU